rnacentral:rRNA from 1 species
AGUGAGGUCUCCGGAUUGGCUUUGGCGCGCCGGCAACGGCAUGCUAUUGCUGAAAAGUUGAUCAAACUUGGUCAUUUAGAGGAAGUAAAAGUCGUAACAAGGUUUCCGUAGGUGAACCUGCGGAAGGAUCAUUAUUGAAAUAAACCUGAUGGGUUGCUGCUGGCUCUCUAGGGAGCAUGUGCACACUUGUCAUCUUUAUAUCUCCACCUGUGCACCUUUUGUAGAUCUGGAUAUCUUUCUGAAUGCCUGGCAUUCGGGUUUGAGGAUUGACUUUUGUCUUUCCUUACAUUUCCAGGCCUAUGUUUUCUUCAUAUACACCAAUUUAUGUUAUAGAAUGUAAUGAAAAGGGCCUUUGUGCCUACAAACCUUAUACAACUUUCAGCAACGGAUCUCUUGGCUCUCGCAUCGAUGAAGAACGCAGCGAAAUGCGAUAAGUAAUGUGAAUUGCAGAAUUCAGUGAAUCAUCGAAUCUUUGAACGCACCUUGCGCUCCUUGGUAUUCCGAGGAGCAUGCCUGUUUGAGUGUCAUUAAUAUAUCAACCUCCNCAGGUUUUUGACUUGUCGAGUGUUUGGAUGUGGGGGUCUUUUGCUGGUCUCUUUUGAGGUCGGCUCCCCUAAAAUGCAUUAGCGGAACAAUUUGUUGACCCGUUCAUUGGUGUGAUAACUAUCUACGCUUUUGACGUGAAACAGGUUCAGCUUCUAACAGUCCAUUGACUUGGACAAAUUUUCAUUAAUGUGACCUCAAAUCAGGUAGGACUACCCGCUGAACUUAAGCAUAUCAAUAAGCGGAGGAAAAGAAACUAACAAGGAUUCCCCUAGUAACUGCGAGUGAAGCGGGAAAAGCUCAAAUUUAAAAUCUGGCAGUCUUUGGCUGUCCGAGUUGU